rnacentral:rRNA from 1 species
GAUGAACGCUGGCGGCGUGCUUAACACAUGCAAGUCGAACGGAAAGGCUCCUGCUUGCAGGGGUACUCGAGUGGCGAACGGGUGAGUAACACGUGGGUGAUCUGCCCUGCACUUCGGGAUAAGCCUGGGAAACUGGGUCUAAUACCGGAUAGGACGAUGGUUUGGAUGCCAUUGUGGAAAGUUUUUCGGUGUGGGAUGAGCUCGCGGCCUUUCAGCUUGUUGGUGGGGUAAUGGCCUACCAAGGCGUCGACGGGUAGCCGGCCUGAGAGGGUGUACGGCCACAUUGGGACUGAGAUACGGCCCAGACUCCUACGGGAGGCAGCAGUGGGGAAUAUUGCACAAUGGGCGCAAGCCUGAUGCAGCGACGCCGCGUGGGGGAUGACGGCCUUCGGGUUGUAAACUCCUUUCGCUAGGGACGAAGCGCAAGUGACGGUACCUGGAGAAGAAGCACGGGCUAACUACGUG